rnacentral:misc_RNA from 1 species
AAGUCGUAACAAGGUCUCCGUAGGUGAACCUGCGGAGGGAUCAUUACUGAGUGAGGGCUCACGCCCGACCUCCAACCCUUUGUGAACCAAACUUGUUGCUUCGGGGGCGACCCUGCCGACGACUCCGUCGCCGGGCGCCCCCGGAGGUCUUCUAAACACUGCAUCUUUGCGUCGGAGUUUAAACAAAUUAAACAAAACUUUCAACAACGGAUCUCUUGGUUCUG